CUGCGCGGCGGACCCCGGUGAACCCCGCCAGGCCCGGAAGGGAGCAACGGUAAGCCGUCCCGGUUCGCGCGCCGCAG
rnacentral:SRP_RNA from 1 species